rnacentral:pre_miRNA from 1 species
CUCCUACUCCCUCCGUUCGGAAUUACUUGUCUCGGAAAUGGAUGUAUCUAGAACUAAAAUACAUCUAAAUACAUCCAUUUCUGUGACAAGUAAUUCCGAACGGAGGGAGUAGUUG